AUUUUUCUGUAGUUUAUAAGCAUGGUGACUGGGCUUCCAGAUGCCUGUGUGAGAUGUGCCUCCCUCAAACCUUGUUAUGACAUCAGCACAUUUCCUAUCUGAGG